rnacentral:rRNA from 1 species
CCGCGUGAGGGAGGAAGGCUCUAGGGUUGUAAACCUCUUUUCUCAGGGAAGAACAAAAUGACGGUACCUGAGGAAUAAGCAUCGGCUAACUCCGUGCCAGCAGCCGCGGUAAUACGGAGGAUGCAAGCGUUAUCCGGAUUUAUUGGGCGUAAAGCGUCCGCAGGUGGCAGUUCAAGUCUGCUGUCAAAGGUCGGGGCUCAACCCCCGAACAGGCAGUGGAAACUGAACAGCUAGAGUACGGUAGGGGCAGAGGGAAUUCCCAGUGUAGCGGUGAAAUGCGUAGAGAUUGGGAAGAACACCGGUGGCGAAAGCGCUCUGCUAGGCCGAAACUGACACUCAUGGACGAAAGCUAGGGGAGCGAAUGGGAUUAGAUACCCCAGUAGUCCUAGCCGUAAACGAUGGAUACUAGGCGUUGUGAGUAUCGACCCUCACAGUGUCGUAGCUAACGCGUUAAGUAUCCCGCCUGGGGAGUACGCGCGCAAGCGUGAAACUCAAAGGAAUUGACGGGGGCCCGCACAAGCGGUGGAGUAUGUGGUUUAAUUCGAUGCAACGCGAAGAACCUUACCAGGACUUGACAUGUCGCGAAUCUCAGGGAAACUUGAGAGUGCCUUCGGGAGCGCGAACACAGGUGGUGCAUGGCUGUCGUCAGCUCGUGUCGUGAGAUGUUGGGUUAAGUCCCGCAACGAGCGCAACCCUCGUUUUUAGUUGCCAGCAUUAAGUUGGGCACUCUAGAGAGACUGCCGGUGACAAACCGGAGGAAGGUGGGGAUGACGUCAAGUCAGCAUGCCCCUUACGUUCUGGGCUACACACGUACUACAAUGCUACGGACAAAGGGCAGCAAGUUAGCGAUGACAAGCAAAUCCCAUAAACCGUGGCUCAGUUCAGAUUGCAGGCUGCAACUCGCCUGCAUGAAGGUGGAAUCGCUAGUAAUUGCAGGUC